GGGGGCGUACUGGUUUCGACGGGGGUGUGGAGACCGGAUAAGCGGGCGGUGGCGCCUGACCACCAUACAACGGGCAAAUUAAAAUUAACUGACAACACUAACACUGUUGCCGUCGCUGCUUAAGCAGUGACCGUCUGAACCGGAGCGGCCACCGGCCGGGGAAGGCGUCGUUAAGGUGGCGUCCGUGAGGCGGGUAAGAGUUGCCCCGCCCACGCAUCAUGACUCUACUGAAUCGCCGCGUCUGUUGCGUGCCGCGUCGAGGAGGGAAUGUUCAAAUCGUAACUGCGCCCGGAGAAAGUCCUGUUGAAGCGCUUUCGGACAGGGGUUCGACUCCCCUCGCCUCCACCA
rnacentral:tmRNA from 1 species